UGGUCUGGAGCAGGGUCAUUCCCAACUGUCAAGAGCAGUAGAGGAGCGAAAGUUGGCUGUGGUUUUUGCUCUGGGUCCAGCUCCCAGAGGCUGUGCAGAUCCUGUACCAUUAAACAAAGCUAAGCUCAUGAGCUACGUUGCUAUUGUCUUUGCUGCUGUUUUUGUUGUUAAUACCUUGGCUGCUGCUAUUAUGUCUGGUGUUUUUAGCGUGGGAGCCAAGAAAACAGCAUUAACUGAACAACCUCAAGACAGCAGAGAUUGCCAGGUUGAGAAACCCUCUGAUGCUGGGAAACAAAGCAAGCAUCUCUCCCCACUUCAAGGCUGUGACCUGUGUUGGCUUUAAACCAUGGAAACCCACACAGCCCUGUGGCUGAGUGACAACCAUGGCUGCCUGCUAGCAGAGUGCAUGAUAACGCCAGUAUUGUGCUGCCCUCUGGAUACCCUACUGCCUGGGACCUCCACAGCCCACUGAACCACAUUUAGGCCUGGUGCAAGCAGACACACAUCCUUCCGAGCAGAUUUUGUGCAAUUUUCAAGGAAUUCUUCAAGGACUCAUCAGCUCAAGCUAGAGUUACCGCCUUCCUGACACCACUGCAACUCGCUCCGUGACCAGUUACUUUCCCGCUCCUGGCCUCUCUUUCCUUCCCACCUCUCCUUUUCAGACUUCAAUACAGCGGGCCCAUCUUCACAUCCCCACAGAGCAUCGGGGUGCUGCUGAGUGCUCACACCCCCAGGCAGGCCUGGGGCAAAGGACGUUCGCCAUCGAUGGCGAAGCUGUGAGUCUAGGGCACUUCCAAGUGCCACGGACACUUGGGCGUCUUCCAGCUGUUGGCUGGCUGCGCCCUGUGCUGUAGCUGCUGAUGGCUCAGCUCUGCCCGUGUCCCCGGCCCAGCCGCCUGGCCUAGCGCUGAGCUGUGUGUUGAAAUAGAGGAGCAUUUCCCAUGCUACUUAUGCAUCAGGGACGCGUGGGGAAAGGAAGUACAGCAGUCACCAGAAGCACCAAUGAAAUUACUUUAUGUUGUUAUCUGAUAAGAAAAGUAAUGAAGCAAAAAUGCUUUGAGCAUGCCAUGAGCCAGCUCCUCUGUCGAGGGAUUACUGCUGAGGACCCUCAAGACCUUAUGUGCACCCAUGACUAUAACCCAUGAGUAAGAGCAUGAAGCAUGCACAGAAGGUAAAUAAAUGGUUAGAGGGAGCUGCUCCAAGUCAAAUUCCUCCCCCACUUUUUUCUUUUCCUUUCUCACCAUUGAGAGACAAACAAAAGCUCAAGUGAUGUCAUGGGGCCAUGCGUUUGGCAAGUUUCUUGCUGCUGUGUCCCAGUACCCGACAAGCCCAUUUACUGUCACUGUCUUUGCAUUCGCCAGAGGUGGCACAUGCAGAAAUUACAGCAGAGCCCAGCCAUACAAAGCAGGGUGCAGAGGAGAGACGAGGCAUUUCAGAUCUACUGCAACUGGUUCCACUCAGUGCUAACCUGAAGCUAAUGCAUGGGCCAAGUGCCAAAUUUCCAACUCCCUGCUGUAGGUCAUUGACUGCUGUAGGGGCCUUUAGUUUCCCUCCCAGAAAAAUCAGAAAAGAGAGUUAAUUUGUUUAAAAACAGACAAACAAACAAAAAAACCCUGCGUGUGUAUAUGUAUGUGUUUGCACAUGCACGUGAUGUACUUUGGAAAGACCUAAGGAGUGGAAGUCCUCAGAAGAUGAUGUGGGAAUUUAGGACCUCUCCUGAACUCGGGGCUUGGUUUCCUCAGCCUCAGCAGCAUGCUGAUGGACGAUUUUGUGCUGGGACUUUUCAGACAUCCCCCUUCUCUAGCUGCUAGGCAGAACUGGGGUGUUGGUGCCUUUAAACCUGCCAAAGCAUUUUGUAUCAAGGCAGCUCCUAGCUCUUUGCUUGGAUAUUUCUGGGAAAGCCUGCUGGGAGGUAAGGAGAGGUAUGUUCAUUAAGUGCCCUCACUUGGAGUUAAAGGGCCAAGCAUGCUUCUGCUUCUUCACCCUGCUACAAGAAGCUCACUGGGGCGAAUAAAAUGGUUAAAGAUGCAUGAUGAGAAAACAGCCUGGUAAUUGCAUUACCCCCAGGGUGGGGUGGCUGCCGGUCACAGGUAUCGAGGUACAGCCCUGGGUGAAUGCCGGUUCUUGUUCCCUCCCUCCGGCCACAGUCCCUGUCCGGAAAAUAACGUCUUUGCUCCUCAUUCAUUAACACCCUGGCUGUGGGAUUUGUGUGUUCGAGCCAAGCGGCACCAUCUGACCUGCCCUGUACGAUUGAAACAAGCUGUCCCAGAUAAUCACCUCCCUCGCCGGAGGUGCAAGUGCAUGGGGUGGGAUCCCCAGGGACCCCGUGUGCCUGCGCCCCGUGGCUGGACUGGUACCAGUGCCUAUUAAUAGAGGAAGGGAUUAGGAAGGAAGAAAAUCACAGCACUUUCCCGACAGUGCCUAGCUCUGCUCAGGCGGAAAGCCUGCCCCGUGCUGCUGGCUUACUGCAAUGCAUCACCCCAGUCAUUGUACACCUUUCUUUCUAUCUAACAUCUAUACUAGGACAUGGGGGUUUUCUUCUGGCUGCAGAGAGCUGAGAGUCAAGCCCACGCAGCUCAACCCUCUGUGGCACGUGAGCGGUGUGUUUGCCUCACGCUGAGGUGACCAGCCCAUGUGAAUUUGCUCCAAGGUGCAUCCUCUUGUCCCUUGCUUUCAGCAGUUUGGCUAAGCAGCUUGAAGCUUUCCUGGAGGUGAUGAGGGGCAAUAGCUGAAACCGUGGAUCUGUUUCCUCCACUGAGAAAUAUAUCCAGAAAUGUUCCACUAUUUCAGUCCACUGAAAAAGAGAGCUGGACUGGACCCUGUGCAGCUUUCGGCUUGCAGCACUCCGAGAGCCAAGCAGGCAUGUAGGCACUCUUGCUUUAAGAACUGAUUUCCUAAGUAAGUGAACUGUCAACUCCUGGUGGCUAGAAAAAUCUGCAAACAAUUUCUAGUCACUGAACAAAGCAAA